CGGGGCAUAGUAUAACGGUAUUAUGCAGGGCUGGGGGUCCUGUGACCUGGGUUCAACUCCCAGUGCCCCGA
rnacentral:tRNA from 1 species